GAGACUCUGUGCGCGUGCAUAUCAAUAAGCGGAGGAAAAGAAACUAACAAGGAUUCCCUUAGUAACGGCGAGUGAAGCGGGAAGAGCUCAAAUUUGAAAUCUUCAAGGUUUUACCUUGACGAAUUGUAGUUUAAAGAAGUGUUUUCUGUUGAAGUUUUGGUAAAAGUUCUUUGGAAUAGGACAUCAUAGAGGGUGAGAAUCCCGUAUUUGACCAUUAUUCUCAGCUGUGUGAUACGCUUUCAAAGAGUCGGAUUGUUUGGGAAUGCAGUCCGAAAUGGGUGGUAAAUUUCAUCUAAAGCUAAAUAUUGGCGAGAGACCGAUAGCGAACAAGUACCGUGAGGGAAAGAUGAAAAGAACUUUGAAAAGAGAGUUAAACAGUACGUGAAAUUGUCAAAAGGGAAGCGUUUGACACCAGUGUUGUUUUCUCGAAAAUCAAUUAAAAAGAGUUGGAUUUUGUGUUGUAUUGACCUUAACAGCUUUCUUCACUCUUUUCUUGCUUUUUUUAAUGCACUUUUCGUUUAACAAGUCAACAUCAGUUUCUUUUGUUGUAAAAGGGUCAUUGGAAGGUGGCUUUCUUUUCGGAGAAAGUGUUUAUAGCCUUUGAUCUCUGCAAUCGGAGAGACUGAGGUCUGCAGCGUAGAUCCUUCGGGGUUAGAUACAUUUGUGCUAAGUUAUAGCUUUUCAUAGACAACUUGUUGACUAUGUUUAGUCAUGUAGCUUACUCGCUUAUGCUAUUUUACCUACGCUUAGGAUGUUGAAUCUGUGCGAGACUAC
rnacentral:rRNA from 1 species